UCCUAACUCGCUCCAUGUUAGACUGAAGUGUGUGAAAGUACUGUUGAAGGACUCGCGUGUGUUCAGUUAUUUCAGCUCGUUAAUGGACUAACCGAGACGAGCGGGGGAAAAGCCGUGCAUAUAGCAUGAUAAGCUGAGAUCUCCUGCAGCAGAUGAGGGAAGAUGUUGGCCAUGGAUCAAGGCGUAGUGGAGGAGUGGCUGUCUGAGUUUAAGACUCUUCCAGACACAGCCGUCUCCAGCUACGCUGCCUCUCUGAAGGACAAGGGCUCUCUGGUUCCUGCGCUCUAUAAAGUCAUUCGGGAGAAUUACAGCGACGUAAGAUGAUCUCUGUUCCUGACUCUUUGUUUCUCUCUCAUUAGUUUG